rnacentral:lncRNA from 1 species
GGGGGGAUAUGGGGGGAAUAUGGGGGGAUGUGGGGGGAUAUGGGGGCUGAUUUGGGGGGAUUUGGGAGUGUGGGGAAGGAAUAUGGGAUUUGGGAUAUGGACAUGGAGAUAUGUGAUAUAGGAUAUGGGGAUAUGGGAUGUGGGGAUAUGGGAUGUGGGAUGUGGAUGUGGGAUGUGGGAUGUGGGAUGUGGGAUAUGGGAUGUGGGAUAUGGGAUGUGGGAUGUGGGUAUGGGAUAUGGGAUGUGGGAUGUGGGAUAUGGGAUGUGGGAUGUGGCUCUAUGGGAUGUGGGACGUGGCUCUAUGGGAUGAGGGACGUGGCUCUAUGGGACGUGGCUCUAUGGGAUGUGGCUGUAUGGGACGUGG